CCUUGCUCCAGCACUAAGCUGUUUUUCAUGUGGUUCUUUAUGCUGAGUCAGUGUCACGAAGAUGAUCCUACACAAACUUCAUUGAUGUCUGGACUUCCAACAAGACAUUCUUUUCCCUGAUCCCGGCGCCCGCCCUGCCACCGGACUUCCCGCCUGACUCGACGCCAUCAUUUACGUUCCUUCAGCCUUUCUUCUUGUCACCACCACCGGCGCCUCCGACAGGUGCAGCGGGCUGCCAUCGGGCUGCGAUGGGAUUGACACUAGCGGCGCUUUGGAUUUAAUUGAUUAUAUUUAAAUGUAUUGGUUAUGUAUAUCUGAGAGAAAUAAUCUAAUUUUUCCUAGCAAAUUUGUUUAUUUUGCAGAUCAUCUCUCUAAGAAAUAUCGAUUGAUAUUACAUUGAAAUGAAGGAUUCUCCACAUAGAGAUGGCAGAAGCUAGAAUCAGAACUUACUCAGAUCUAAAGCUUCCUAACCACUUAACCAAAACCC